UGGUAGUGUAUUGGACUACCAUGGCGAUGACGGGUAACGGAGAAUUAGGGUUCGAUUCCGGAGAGGGAGCCUAAGAAAUGGCUACCACAUCUAAGGAAGGCAGCAGGCGCGUAAAUUACCCAAUCCUGACUCAGGGAGGUAGUGACAAGAAAUAACGGACCGAAGCCUAUGUCUCGGGAUUGCAAUGAGUAGAAUUUAAACCCCUUUACGAGGAUCAAUUGGAGGGCAAGUCUGGUGCCAGCAGCCGCGGUAAUUCCAGCUCCAAUAGCGUAUAUUAAAGUUGUUGCAGUUAAAAAGCUCGUAGUUGGAUUUCUGGGAGAGCGCCAAUGUCGUCUUGUUGACUGUGCAGCGGCGCUCUUCCAUCCUUCUGUUAACGUUUCGGGUAUUCAUUUACUCGUCUCGGGCUCAGAUAUUUUACCUUGAGAAAAUUAGAGUGUUCCAGGCAGGCUCGCGCCGGAAUACAUUAGCAUGGAAUAAUAGAAUAGGACUUUAGUCUCCUUUGUUGGUUUGAGGCACUGAAGUAAUGAUUAAUAGGGAUAGUUGGGGGCAUUAGUAUUUAAUUGUCAGAGGUGAAAUUCUCGGAUUUGUUAAAGACUAACUUAUGCGAAAGCAUUUGCCAAGGAUGUUUUCAUUAAUCAAGAACGAAAGUUAAGGGAUCAAAGACGAACAG
rnacentral:rRNA from 1 species